CCUACGGGUGGCAGCAGUGAGGAAUAUUGGUCAAUGGGCGCAAGCCUGAACCAGCCAAGUCGCGUGAGGGAUGAAGGCUCUAUGGUUCGUAAACUUCUUUUAUAAGGGAAUAAAGUGUGGGACGUGUCCUGUUUUGUAUGUACCUUAUGAAUAAGGAUCGGCUAACUCCGUGCCAGCAGCCGCGGUAAUACGGAGGAUCAGAGCGUUAUCCGGAUUUAGUGGGUUUAAAGGGUGCGUAGGUGGCCUUGUAAGUCAGCUGUGAAAGUCUGUGGCUCAACCAGAGAAUUGCCGUUGAAACUGGGAGGCUUGAGUACGUUUGAGGCAGGCGGAAUGCGUGGUGUAGCGGUGAAAUGCUUAGAUAUCACGAAGAACCCCGAUUGCGAAGGCAGCCUGCCAAGCCGUGACUGACGCUGAUGCACGAAAGCGUGGGGAUCAAACAGGAUUAGAUACCCGUGUAGUC
rnacentral:rRNA from 1 species